UACGUAGGGUGCGAGCGUUGUCCGGAAUUAUUGGGCGUAAAGAGCUCGUAGGCGGUUUGUCGCGUCGACUGUGAAAACCUACAGCUUAACUGUGGGCUUGCAGUCGAUACGGGCAGACUUGAGUUCGGUAGGGGGAGACUGGAAUUCCUGGUGUAGCGGUGAAAUGCGCAGAUAUCAGGAGGAACACCGGUGGCGAAGGCGGGUCUCUGGGCCGAUACUGACGCUGAGGAGCGAAAGCGUGGGGAGCGAACAGG
rnacentral:rRNA from 1 species